UACGUAGGCAGCAAGCGUUGUUCGGAGUUACUGGGCGUAAAGGGCGCGUAGGCGGCCUCGUCCGUCCGGCGUGAAAUGCCUGGGCUCAACCUAGGAAUUGCGCUCGAUACAGCGAGGCUAGAGUGUGGGAGAGGUUGGUGGAAUUCCCAGUGUAGAGGUGAAAUUCGUAGAUAUUGGGAAGAACACCGGUGGCGAAGGCGGCCAACUGGACCACAACUGACGCUGAGGCGCGAAAGCGUGGGGAGCAAACAGG
rnacentral:rRNA from 1 species